rnacentral:lncRNA from 1 species
UGAUAGUGAAUGGGUCUCACAAGAUCUGAUGGAUUUAAAGACGGGAGUUUCUCUGCACAAGCUCUCUCUUUUUGCCUGCUGCCGUCCACAUAAGAUGUGACUUGCUCCUCCUUGACUUUUGCCUUCCACCAUGAUUGUGAGGCCUCCCCAGCCACAUGGAACUACAAUGAACUCCAUCCCUGGCCUUGAGGAAGUCCCAGACCACCGAUGAAAUGCAUGGACAGCAACAGAAGAAAGGACAAUCUGAUGAUUCGAGUCAUUUGGAUAAAUGGACAUAGAUGAUGCCAGAAGCCAUGACUUUCAGCAAACUAACACAGGAACAGAAAACCAAACACCGCAUGUUCUCAUUCAGUCUUGCUCUUUCACCCAGGCUAGAGUGAAGUGGCAUGAUCUUGGCUCACUGCAACCUCUGCCCCCCGGGCUUCAAGAGAUUCUCCUGCCUCAGCCACCCAGGUAGCUGGGAUUACAGGCAUCAUAUGCGCCACCAUGCCAGGCUAAUUUUUGUAUUUUUAGUAGAGACGGGGUU